CCUACGGGAGUCUGCAGUGGGGAAUAUUGCACAAUGGGGGAAACCCUGAUGCAACGACGCCGCGUGAGUGAAGAAGUAAUUCGUUAUGUAAAGCUCUAUCAGCAGGGAAGACAAUGACGGUCCCUGAGGAAGAAGCCCCGGCUAACUACGUGCCAGCAGCCGCGGUAAAACGUAUGGGGCCAGCGUUAUCCGGAUUUACUGGGUGUAACGGGAGCGUAGACGGCAGUGCACGUCUGGAUUGAAAGGCGGGGGCUCAACCCCCGGACUGCUCUGGAAACUGUACGGCUGGAGUGCAGGAGAGGGAAGUGGAAUUCCUAGUGUAGCGGUGAAAUGCGUAGAUAUUAGGAGGAACACCAGUGGCGAAGGCGGCUUACUGGACUGUAACUGACGUUGAGGCUCGAAAGCGUGGGGAGCAAACAGGAUUAGAUACCCGGGUAGUC
rnacentral:rRNA from 1 species